AGAGUUUGAUCCUGGCUCAGAACGAACGCUUGCGGCGUGCUUAACACAUGCAAGUCGAACGAGAAAGGGACUUCGGUCCUGAGUAAAGUGGCGCACGGGUGAGUAACGCGUAGGUAAUCUACCCCUGUGUUCGGGACAACAUCGGGAAACUGGUGCUAAUACCGGAUACGUUUCACGGAUUGCGAAAUAAGUGAAGGAAAGGUGGCGCCCCUUCGGGGGGCUAUCGCACGGGGAUGAGCCUGCGUACCAUUAGCUAGUUGGCAGGGUAAGGGCCUACCAAGGCGACGAUGGUUAGCUGGUCUGAGAGGACGACCAGCCACACUGGAACUGAGACACGGUCCAGACUCCUACGGGAGGCAGCAGUGGGGAAUUUUGGACAAUGGGCGAAAGCCUGAUCCAGCCAUGCCGCGUGAGUGAAGAAGGCCUUCGGGUUGUAAAGCUCUUUCAGCCGGAAAGAAAUUGCUUCUAUUAAUACUAGGAGUAGAUGACGGUACCGGAAGAAGAAGCACCGGCUAACUACGUGCCAGCAGCCGCGGUAAUACGUAGGGUGCGAGCGUUAAUCGGAAUUACUGGGCGUAAAGCGUGCGCAGGCGGUUUUGUAAGACAGACGUGAAAUCCCCGGGCUUAACCUGGGAACUGCGUUUGUGACUGCAAGACUAGAGUGUAGCAGAGGGGGGUAGAAUUCCACGUGUAGCAGUGAAAUGCGUAGAUAUGUGGAGGAAUACCAAUGGCGAAGGCAGCCCCCUGGGUUAACACUGACGCUCAUGCACGAAAGCGUGGGGAGCAAACAGGAUUAGAUACCCUGGUAGUCC
rnacentral:rRNA from 1 species